CUCAGUCCCUGGUCCCUGGAGAGGGGAUCUGGGUCUCUCUGCAUCCAGUGGGAGAGCCUGAAUAGACCUGCAGGAGAGACAAAUCUCGGACUGCUGAAUUUCUCCACUCUCAUGGCAUUGCCCAUCAAGAGGGAUUGCAGUUCUGAACAUGAUGGAUCAGAUGCAAUAUGAGGUGCUUCAUGUCUGCAGGCCUGUCCCAGAAAUUCUCAUAUCCUGUAAGGACUGAAGCUUGAACUGAUAUGGAACCCAUGACUCAGUAGCAGUUGACUGCUAGCCCCUCCUGGGCUUCUACUCCUUUGUCCGUUGCAUCCCCUAAACUCAGCCCACCUGAUUACUUCAUAUCUGUUGGCGGAUUGACUCCCUCCCUCCAGACCACUUUCAAUAAGAAGAUCUUCCUUAUUUGGCUAGGAACAAACACCACGUGGCUUCCCUAUGACCUGUAUGCUGCCUUGAUCUUCUACCCUUGGAAGAAACAGAAGGAGUGAGAGAGUUAUGUCAGCCAGGACAGCAUUAACUUUAAUCCUACUUAAUUCCAGCUCCACGAUGAAAGCCUAACUUUGAGACUUGAUUGAGGUGAGUUUAGGUCAAAUAAGAGGAGGUUUCAUUCAGCCACAUCGUCAUUUAUUCAGCCAACAUUCACAGAGCCAGGCACAGAGCUUGGGGCUGGGAGUCAGAGGAACAAUACUUGGUCCCUGCCCUUGAGGGAGACAAACAGAAGCAAAUAGGAAAUAACUGCAACAUAGGCAAUGAAUUCUGAAGUGAAAGGAAGCAGGAACCCACGCUGGGGAGAGUCACUGAUGGACAGUUGUAACUUUUAGGGAGGGGACACAGAGGCAAGGAGAAGGCAGAAGAAACUGACUCGAGUUGGAUUUUAAAGGCUGAGUAAUAAACUCACAAAAGUAAAAUUAUGGGGCCGGGCGCAGUGGCUCAUGCAUGUAAUCCC